CGUGUAGGCGGUAUGGCAAGCGGUAUGUGAAAUCCCGGGGCUCAACCCCGGAACUGCAUACCGAACUGCCAUACUAGAGGACAGGAGGGGGAUGUGGAACUCUAGGUGUAGCGGUGAAAUGCGUAGAUAUCUAGAGGAACGCCGGUGGCGAAAGCGACAUCCUGGCCUGUAUCUGACGCUGAGGCGCGAAAGCGUGGGUAGCAAACAGGAUUAGAUACCCUGGUAGUCC
rnacentral:rRNA from 1 species